AUGCUCUUCAAGCUGCCGGUCUACCAGUAUCUCGUGGAGGAGGUCAAGAUGGAGGUCGACAUCCCCGACACUGCCCAGGAGUUCACACCUGUGGCGCAUGCCGUCACCAAUGGCCACCUCCCCGCUGUCAGGUACCUUGUGGAUCGUGGCGCCGAUCUGCAUCAGCAGCGUGGAAGCAUCACUCUUCUUCAUGCAGCUACAGUUCAUGGGUACUCUGAAAUAGUAAAGUUUCUGCUUUCUAGAGGAGCUGAUGUCGAUGCCAUAUCAGAUCUUGGGACACCACUCUCGAUUGCUGCUCUUAGAGGGUUUGCUAGUAUUGUCAAGAUCCUUCUGGAGCACAAUGCAGAUCCCAACAACAACAAGGCUAUUUUUAAGUUUGUACCUUUAAGCAUGGCAUUACAAGAAUCUUCUGUAUCCUGUGUGAAGCUAUUGAUUCAGGGUGGAGCUAAUGUCAGUGGUGAUAGUACUCUUGAUUAUCUACUGGUAAAGGCUGCAGAGAAGGGCUUAACUGAAGCUAUCAAGUGCUUAUCGGAAGCUGGUGCAAACCCAAAUGUUUCUGACACGUUUGAUAGAUUGCCAAUAGAGUGGGCUGCUGAGUAUGGUACACGGGAAGAUGUUGAGAUUCUCUUUCCGUUCACCUCACCCAUUUCAACUGUGGCAAAUUGGAGCGUUGAUGGAAUCAUUAGUCAUGUGAAGAUGGAAAUCAAGCAACUUGAGGAUGGUAAUUUUGUGAAAAAGAGGAUGUGUGACAUGAAACGACAAGCGGAUGAAGCAUUCAGAAAGCAGGAUUAUGUAAAUGCGCCAGUGCUCUACACACAGGCACUGAAGAUGGAUAACUUUGACCCUAAGUUGCUGUCAAACAGGAGUCUUUGCUGGCUUCGCAUGGGUGAUGGACAAAAGGCUUAUGGUGAUGCAACUAAAUGCAAGAGGCUUCGUCCAAAGUGGGCAAAGGCGCACUAUCGGCAAGGAGCAGCUCUAAUGUUCAUGAAGGACUAUGAAAGAGCCCACUACUCACUCUCACGCGCUUUAGAGUUGGACCCUGAAAGCGAAGAGACUGAGAACUUGUUCUGGUAA
rnacentral:rRNA from 1 species